UAAUUACAGAUAAGUUUGUUUUUAAUCCCAAAGACCUUAAAGUCUUAAGAUUCUCAGUUCCAAGUUUUUUGAAACAGGUGUUCAGAAGCCUCACCAUUGGAAAGAGUAUGCUAUAUGCAAUUUUUUAUUGAAUGUUAGUUAAGUGAGUCGGUUAAGCAUACGUUGGUGACAGGACUGAUGGAUUUAGGAGUUCUAUCAAGAUACCUGUAUUAGUUCUCCAAAGAAGCAGAAGCAAUAAAUUAUAUAAUAUGUAAUAUAUAUAUGAAUCUGUAAAAAUAGUUUAUUAUAAGGUAUUGGCUUGUGUGAUUAAGGAGGCUGAGAAGCCCCACAUUUGCCAUCUGCAAGCUGAGAUUCAGGUGGUGUAGUCCAAAGGGCUGAGAGCCAGAGAAAUGACAACGUAGAUUCCAGUCCAAGUCUGAAGGCCUAAAACCAGGACUGCCGAGGACAGAAGCAUCUCUGAAAAGCAAUGGAAAAAACAUCCUCAGGUGAGAAUUCAAAACGAAACAAAAGAAAAAACAAUCCUUGUUAGACACCUGUGUCCUCUUGGUGUUGGUAUCUGUCGACCAUCUUUUCUCAAUCAAGUUGAGGUCUUCCUGGUUCUUGGUUUUCUCUGACACUACUUCGGUGGAGGAAAGGAGGACCCUGCCUUGUUGCUGCCGAGUGGGGAUGGAAGCUCAGGUUCUCCUGCCUCUGUGGAAGCCUGUGGGGAAGAGAGACUCUCUUGCAUGGAUUCUAAAAUAUCUUGCCCCUCUUUUGCUUUGUAGUAUUUUCAGAACGAAACUAAUUUUGGUUAAAUGUAAUUUUCUGCCUUCUCUGUGGCUGAAAGAUGGCUGAAAAAAUACACAAAACUAUGCUGAUUGGUUUUACUCUAAAUUCAUUACUUCAAGCAACGCUGCUUCUGCUCAGCAGUCCUAUCAUAUUUUCAUAGGACCUUUGCUGUCUCCCACUUUCAUAGGUGAUAUUUUGUUCAUAUUUUCUAUUAUUGUUAUUUUAAAAGAAUAUUCAUAGCAGCUCUAUUUGUAAUAGCCCCAAACUGGAAAUAACCAAAAUAUCCAUCAGUAGGCAAAUAGAUAAACAAACUGGCGCAUCCAUAUGAUGAAAUACUGCUCAUCAAUAAAAGAAAUGAACACUUGC